rnacentral:rRNA from 1 species
UACGGGGGGGGCAAGCGUUGUUCGGAAUUACUGGGCGUAAAGGGAGCGUAGGCGGCGCGGUAAGUCAGAUGUGAAAUCCCGGGGCUCAACCCCGGAACUGCAUCCGAUACUGCCGUGCUAGAGGAUUGGAGAGGUAGCUGGAAUUCUUGGUGUAGCAGUGAAAUGCGUGGAGAUCAAGAGGAACACUCGUGGCGAAAGCGAGCUACUGGACAAUAUCUGACGCUGAGGCUCGAAGGCCAGGGUAGCGAAAGGG